rnacentral:rRNA from 1 species
AACGUAGGAGACAAACGUUAUCCGGAGUUACUGGGCGUAAAGGGCGUGUAGGUGGUUUCGUAAGUCUGGCGUGAAAUUUUUCGGCUUAACCGGGAAAGGUCGUCGGAUACUGCGGAGCUAGAGGACGGUAGAGGCGUGUGGAAUUCCGGGUGUAGUGGUGAAAUGCGUAGAGAUCCGGAGGAACACCAGUGGCGAAGGCGACACGCUGGACACGUAUUGACGCUGAGGUGCGAAAGCGUGGGGAGCAAACAGG